rnacentral:tRNA from 1 species
GGGGCAUUAGCUCAGUUGGCUAGAGCGUUUGACUGGCAGUCAAGAGGUCGACGGUUCGAUUCCGUUAUGCUCCACUA